rnacentral:lncRNA from 1 species
GGAAAACGUUUAUUUCCCCUGAAAAUUCUAUCUUUAUAGUUAUAUAAAUCAAAAACAAGCUUAAAUAUGAGGAUUCUUUUCUGCUACGGAACACCUCCCUUGGUACAACCCAAAAGACCAGUGUUUACUUUUCAUUAAAGGUAAGAAACAUAUUUAGACCAUUUUUAUGAAUGACAAGAAUUACCUAUCUUUAUUUGAAUAAAAAUUCACAGGUUCUAUUACAGUCUUUUAAAAAUUUAGUUAGGAGAUAUCUUGAUAUUUCUGUGGAAGCAAAAAGACCCAUAGAGAUGAUUUGAUAUAUUAAUGUAUAAAAUAGCCUGAUUAAUUACAUUCAGUGUCUAAACCGACUCAUAGAAUACAAGCAAUAAAUUAAAAUAUAAAAUACGAUGAAUUAUCACUUCAAAUGAAGAAAAAUAUUAAAGUUUGAUUAACAUUUGUGUUACUUCUUAUAGAAUUUGUGCUUUGUCAUUUAGUCAUAUAUUUUUAAAAAGUUAGAGAACACUUUUCUAUUUUGUAAAUAAAUUUACUUUUAUUGUUUAUUUCUAAUUUUCAAGAUAUAUUAGCAUUGUAAAGAAAAAAUAUAGAAAAUUACAAUGAUGGUAAAAAACAUAAUCUUAACAACCAAAUGAUAACCAUUGUUAGCAUUUUGAUACAUUUCCAUCAAGAAAUUUCUUUGUGCAUCUACACACUGGCUUGUUUAUAUAAACUGUUCUCUAAAUAAAACAUAUGUUUUGUAAUCUGCUCACUUAUCAGUUGUAGCUAUAUUUUCAUGGUAAAUGAUCAACAUCUAAUUUUAAAAUAGAUACAUAUUCCAUGGAAAUAUUUGGCGUAACUUAUUUAACCAGAUUUCUGUUGUAGAGCAGCUCCUUUCCACACCAUUUCUCCACUAGCAUAUACUUUUUUUCCAUUAUAAAAAAAUUAUCCCUGGAUACCUACUAUAUGCAUUUGUGAAAAUUAGACCUAAGAUGAAUUCCUAGAAAUGGGAGUGUUGGAAAAAAAUGUGUGUUCAUUUUAUUCUUUGACACAUAUUGCCAAACUUCUCCCCAGAAAAGUUAUCACAAUUUACAGUCCUACCAACAAUGCCUAAGAGUCAUUUAUUUAGUCAUUCAACUGGUUAUUUUUUUGUGCCAGGCACAUGUGGUAGAGGAUGAUAAUAUAAUGGUGAAUAAAACUUAACUAUGUGUGUAUUCUUUCAUUUCAUAAUUUUAAUCAAAACGUAUACUAUGGAAACAAGAAUUUAAAUCAGUGAGGUUAUGCCAUAAAUAUUGUUCUGCAACUUUAUUAUUUUCAUUUAAAAUUAUAGAUAAACUUUUUUGUAAUGAAUGCUCUUAUAUUUUGAUAGUACUAUAGUGGUUUCAUUUUGUACCAUCAGUAAAUAGUAUUUUGAAGUAAGCAAUGACUUACUGAUUCAGAUAUUUUUUAAAAUAUAUUUUUAUUAGCUAGCUGCUUUUUGUACUGUUUAUUUGAUAGUCUUUCUGUCUCACACUUAUUUGAAAUACCACUUUAUCAUAUUAAUUAAACUGCUUGGUUCUGUUCUGAAUUCUUUUUUUUUUUAAGAUUCUAUUCAUUUAUUCAUGAGAGACACCCACAGAGAGAGGGAGAGAGGAGAGAGAGAGAGAGAGAGAGAGAGAGAGAGAGAGGCAGAGAUACAGGCAGAGGGAGAAGCAGGCUCCAUGCAGAGAGCCUGAUGUGAGACUCGAUUCCGGGUCUCCAGGAUCACGCCCUGGGCUGAAGGCAGCGCUAAACCGCUAAGCCACCUGGGCUGCCCUCUGUUCUGAAUUCUGUUCUCUGAUCAGUUGGUCUUAAUUUUUCUGCAAACAACAAAUGGGGUAAUGGCAGUUUUUAAAUAACGUUUUAUUUUGUGAAAAUGAUAUGCAUUGAAAAAAGGUUAGAUAAUACAUUGAAAUCCAAACAAGAAAAUAACUAAAAACUCAGUGAGAGGUAAUGUCACAAUAUUCACAUCUUUAAUGAACAUCCCCAAAUUAAUUUCCUAUCAUUAUAUAUUUGUAUUUCUUAUCUUAGCAGUAAGAGUGAAUGUCUUUUCAUAUUUUUAUUGUUCAUUUGAGAAUUGCCUAUUUAUACCUUUUGCUUACUUUUCCACUGAAUUAGAAAGAAAUUAAUUGGUAUUGCAAUCCUACAGGUAAAAUAAUUUUGGCUUUAAGACAACUGUGACUCCUUUAAAAAAUACAUCUGUUGUGAUUUAUAAUACUGGCGAAAGGCAACUUAACUACAUCUUUUAUUUUAAGUUACCUAAUUUCAUUUUAAAUUGUCAUCAAAACAAUGCUUUUCAAGGAUUAGUACUUAAUCACACUGAUACA